rnacentral:rRNA from 1 species
AUCCUGGCUCAGGAUGAACGCUAGCUACAGGCCUAACACAUGCAAGUCGAGGGGCAGCAUGGUCUUAGUUUGCUAAGGCUGAUGGCGACCGGCGCACGGGUGAGUAACACGUAUCCAACCUGCCGUCUACUCUUGGCCAGCCUUCUGAAAGGAAGAUUAAUCCAGGAUGGGAUCAUGAGUUCACAUGUCCGCAUGAUUAAAGGUAUUUUCCGGUAGACGAUGGGGAUGCG